ACGGACUUGGCAGCAACUGAAGAUCAAAUAAAAAAAUGUAGUUCAAACAGAAAAAAGGCUGAGGCCCGCAAAACAGGUGGCGGUCCACCACCACCACCUCUCACAGAGGCUGAAAAGAUGGCCCUCAGUCAGAACAGUGGGCGACCCAUUGCUGAGGGCAUCUCUGGGGGGAGCUCAUCGGACCCACCCACGCCCCAGGACACAGGGGCCUACAUAAGAGUUACUGAUGGUGUAAUCUGUCUCGUGGAGCCUUCUGCCAUAACAGACCUCCAUGCUGUUG